rnacentral:lncRNA from 1 species
CCAUCCUCCCUAAGGCACCUAGGAGGUGCCUUCCCCUUUUAGGACUCUCCCUUUCCCUUAUCUCUUGGUGCAUGGGCCUCUUGGGGGGCGCACCAGCCCAUCUAGGGCUGGUCCCCUCCCACACUUGGCCCAUGUAGCCCUCCGAGGAUGGUGGCCCCACUUGGUGGACCCCCGGGACCCUCUCGGUGGUCCCGGUACAUUACCGAUAAAACCCGAAACUUUUCCGGUGAUCAAAACAGGACUUCCCAUAUAUAAUUCUUUACCUCCGGACCAUUCCGGAACUCCUUGUGACGUCCGGGAUCUCAUCUGGGACUUCGAACAACAUUCGGUAACCACAUACAAACUUCCUUUAUAACCCUAGCGUCAUCGAACCUUAAGUGUGUAGACCCUACGGGUUCGGGAACCAUGCAGACAUGACCGAGACGUUCUCCGGUCAAUAACCAACAGCGGGAUCUGGAUACCCAUGUUGGCUCCCACAUGUUCCACGAUGAUCUCAUCGGAUGAACCAUGAUGUCAAGGACUCAAUCGAUCCCGUAUACAAUUCCCGUUGUCUAGCGGUAUUAUACUUGCCCGAGAUUCGAUUGUCGGUAUGCCGAUACCUUGUUCAAUCUUGUAACCGGCAAGUCUCUUUACUCGUUCCGUAACACAUCAUCCCGUGAUCAGCCCCUUGGUCACAUUGUGCACAUUAUGAUGAUGUCCUACCGAGUGGGCCCAGAGAUACCUUUCCGUUUACACGGAGUGACAAAUCCCAGUCUCGAUUCGUGCCAACCCAACAGACACUUUCGGAGAUACCUGUAGUGCACCUUUAUAGCCACCCAGUUACGUUGUGACAUUUGGUACACCCAAAGCAUUCCUACGGUAUCUGGGAGUUGCACAAUCUCAUGGUCUAAGGAAAUGAUACUUGACAUUAGAAAAGCUUUAGCAUACGAACUAUGAUCUUUGUGCUAGGCUUAGGAUUGGGUCUUGUCCAUCACAUCAUUCUCCUAAUGAUGUGAUCCCGUUAUCAACGACAUCCAAUGUCCAUGGUCAGGAAACCGUAACCAUCUGUUGAUCAACGAGCUAGUCAACUAGAGGCUUACUAGGGACAUAGUGUUGUCUAUGUACCCACACAUGUAUCUGAGUUUCCUAUCAAUACAAUUAUAGCAUGGAUAAUAAACGAUUAUCAUGAACAAGGAAAUAUAAUAAUAAUAACCAACUUAUCAUUGCCUCUAGGGCAUAUUUCCAACAGUCUCCCACUUGCACUAGAGUCAAUAAUCUAGUUCACAUCGCCAUGUGAUUAACACUGAUAGGUCACAUCACCAUGUGACCAACAUCCAAAGAGUUUACUAGUGUCUAAACUAGUUCACAUCACCAUGUGAUUAAGUCUCAAUGAGUUCUGGGGUUUGAUCAUGUUUUGCUUGUGAGGGAGGUUUUAGUCAACGGGUCUGCAACAUUCAGAUCCGUAUGUACUUUGCAAUUCUCUAUGUCAUGAUGCUUCCACGCUCCAUUUGAAGCUAUUCCAAAUGGUUGCUCCACUAUACAUAUCCGGUUUGCUACUCAGAGUCAUUCGGAUAGGUGUUAAAGCUUGCAUCGACGUAACCCUUUACGCCGAACUCUUUAUCACCUCCAUAAUCGAGAAACAUGUCCUUUAUUUACUCCAAGGACAAUUUUGACCGCUGUCCAAUGAUCUAUUCCUGGAUCAUUCUUGUACCCCUUGACUGACUCAUGGCAAAGCACACUUCUGGUGCGGUACACAACAUAGCAUACUAUAGAGCCUACGUCUGAAGUAUAGGGGAUGACCUUCGUCCUUUCUCUCUCUUCUGCCGUGGUCGAGCUUUAACUCUUAACUUCAUACCUUACAACUCAGGCAAGAACUCCUUCUUUGACUGAUCCAUCUUGAACACCUUCAAGAUCAUGUCAAGGUAUGUGCUCAUUUGAAAGUAUUAUUAAACAUUUUGAUCUAUCUUAUAGAUCUUGAUGCUUAUUGUUNNNNNNNNNNNNNNNNNNNNNNNNNNNNNNNNNNNNNNNNNNNNNNNNNNNNNNNNNNNNNNNNNNNNNNNNNNNNNNNNNNNNNNNNNNNNNNNNNNNNUAAAAAUAUUGUCAAAUUGAAGUUAUUUCCGUUUUCACUUAGAGAUCGUGCUAAAGUUUGGUUUUCGUCUUUGCCUAAAAAUAGUAUUGAUUCUUGGAACAAGUGCAAAGAUGCUUUUAUCUCUAAGUAUUUUCCUCCCGCUAAGAUCAUCACUCUUAGGAACGAUAUCAUGAAUUUUAAACAACUUGAUCAUGAGCAUGUUUCCCAAUCUUGGGAAAGAAUGAAAUUGAUGCUUCACAAUUGCCCUACUCAUGGUUUGAAUUUAUGGAUGAUCAUACAAAAAUUUUAUGCCGGAUUGAAUUUUUCUUCUAGAAAUCUUUUAGAUUCGGCCACGGGAGGCACGUUUAUGGAAAUUAGGUUAGGAGAUGCUACAAAAUUGCUUGAUAAUAUUAUGGCUAAUUAUUCUCAAUGGCACACCGAAAGAUCUUCUAGUAAAAAAGUGCAUGCUAUAGAAGAAAUCAAUGUUUUGAGUGAAAAGAUGGAUGAACUUAUGAAGAUGUUUGCUCCUAAAAAUACUCCUCUUGAUCCCAAUGAUAUGCCUUUGUCUACUUUGCUUGAGAAUAAUAAUGAAUCUAUGGAUGUGAAUUUUGUUGGUAGGAAUAGUUUUGGAAACAAUGCGUAUAGAGGGAAUUUUAAUCCUAGGCCUUAUCCUAGUAAUCCUUCUAAUAAUUAUGGAAAUUCAUACAACAACUCUUAUGGAAAUUUUAAUAAGAUGCCCUCUGAAUUUGAGACUAGUGUUAAAGAGUUUAUGAAUUCACAAAAGAAUUUUAAUGCUUUGCUUGAACAGAAAUUGCUUAAAGUUGAUGAUUUGGCUAGGAAAGUUGAUAGAAUUUCUCUUGAAAUUGAUUCUUUAAAGCUUAGAUCUAUUCCUCCUAAGCAUGAUAUCAAUGAGUCUCUCAAAGCCAUGAGAAUUUCCAUUGAUGAGUGCAAGGAAAGAACCGCUAGGAUGCGUGCUUCCAAAGAUGCCUUUAUUAAAGCGUGUUCUUCCAAUUCCUAUGAAAAUCAAGAUGAAGAUCUAAAAGUUAUUGAUGUGUCCCCCAUUAAAUCUUUGUUUUGCUAUAUGAAUCUUGAUGAAACUGAAGAUUAUGUUCCCUUACCUAGAAGGCGUUUUAAGAAUUCGGAGUUUCUAGAUCUUGAUGAUGAAAUUGAUGAAAGUGGGAUUGAAAGAAAUAAAAACCUAGAUCUUGCUAAACCUACUAUUUUGGAUCUCAAGGAAUUUAAUUAUGAAAAUUUCUCUUUGAUUGGUUGUAUUUCCUUGUUGCAAUCCGUGCUAGAUUCUCCUCAUGCUUAUAGUCAAAAUAAGGCCUUUACCGAACACAUCGUUGAUGCCUUGAUGCAAUCUUAUGAAGAAAAACUUGAGUUGAAAGUUUCUAUCCCUAGAAAACUCUAUGAUGAGUGGGAACCUACUAUUAAAAUUAAAAUUAAAGAUUACGAGUUUCAUGCUUUGUGUGAUUUGGGUGCUAGUGUCUCUACUAUUCCCAAAACUUUAUGUGAUUUGCUAGAUUUCCGUGAUUUUGAUGAUUGCUCUCUAACCUUGCAUCUUGUGGAUUCCACUAUUAAAAAGCCUAUGGAAAGAAUUAAUGAUGUACUUAUUGUUGCAAAUAGGAAUUAUGUGCCCGUAGAUUUUAUCGUUCUUGAUAUAGAUCGCAAUCCUUCAUGUCCUAUUAUUCUUGGUAGAUCCUUCCUUAGAACGAUUGGUGCAAUUAUUGAUAUGAAGGAAGGGAAUAUUAGAUUCCAAUUUCCCUUGAAGAAGGGUAUGGAACACUUCCCUAGAAAUAAAAUAAAAUUACCAUAUGAAUCUAUCAUGAGAGCCACUUAUGGUACCAAAGAUGGCAAUACCUAGAUCUAUCCUUGCUUUUAUGCCUAGCUAGGGGCGUUAAACGAUAGCGCUUGUUGGGAGGCAACCCAAUUUUAUUUUGUGUUUUUUGUUUUUGCUUCUGUUUAGGAAUAAAUAAUCGAUCUAGCCUCUGUUUGGAUGUGGUUUAAUCUUUUAAUUAGUGUUUGUGCCAAGUAGAACCUGUAGGAUAACCUACGAUGAUAGUUGAUUUGAUUCUGCUGAAAAACAGAAACUUUGCACGCACNNNNNNNNNNNNNNNNNNNNNNNNNNNNNNNNNNNNNNNNNNNNNNNNNNNNNNNNNNNNNNNNNNNNNNNNNNNNNNNNNNNNNNNNNNNNNNNNNNNNGCAAGGAGAUCAGGUUCCUCAUGGAUGAACUUGAGGCCAUGCACGCAUUUCUCCUCAAAAUGUCAGAGGACGAGGAUCCUGAUGUGCAAGACAAAGUUUGGGCAAACGUGGUCAGGGAGCUCUCCUACGACAUGGAGGACACCAUCGACGACUUCAUGCAGAACGUCGAUGACAAAGACGCCAAGCCAGAUGGCUUCAUUGAGAAAAUCAAGCAUACACUAGGAAAGUUGGGCAAGAUGCAGGCUCGGCGACACAUCGGCAGCGAGAUCAAAGAUUUGAAGAAACAAAUCAUUGAGGUGAGCGAGAGGAAUGAAAGGUACAAGACACGUGGGAUCUUCUCCAACACCAGAAAUGCGUCUGUUGAUGCUAGAGCUCUUGCUAUCCUUGAGGAUGCCUCCAAGCUUGUGGGAAUUCAUGAACCUAUGGCUGAAAUAAUCAAGCUGUUGACUCAAGGUGCAUCAACAGAUGAGAAACCAAAGCUGGUCUCCAUCGUAGGAUCUGCAGAAAUGGGCAAGACAACUCUUGCAAACCAAGUGUAUCAAGAGUUCAAAGAGAAAUUCAAGUGUAAGGCUUUCAUAUCGGUGUCGCGAAAUCCAGACCUGAUGAAUAUCAUGAGAACUAUUCAUAGUCAAGUCAGUGGUCUACAUUUUGAUAACACCGAAGCAGGUAGCAUACAACAAGUCAUCAUGAAUAUCAACGGUCACCUAGCAGACAAAAGGUACGGUUUCUAUUGCAUGAACAUAUGUUUGGAAAUCUUACAAUGUCAAGUGAAAUCAAAUGGAGAGAGUACCAACUCUUGAUACAAGUAAUUUGUGCUCAUAUUUUCCAAUCUAUCAUUACAAAAUGUUUAAAGUGAAGUCCUUUCGAUGCCAAGUGAAAUCAAAUGCAGAGAGUACCAACAACCACCCAACGCGCUUAUGAAUAUCCGUUCGUGAUUUAUUAUUUUUCCUUUCUACUGAUAUAGCAUCUUUAACACAUAGGUACUCCAUCCAUUGGUUAUAUGACAUAACCUUCUGUCAGGAUUAGAUAUUUUAUGUAUGUGGAAAUUUUCACUUCCAUCCUAUAUAAUCAACUUGGCUCAUGUUUCUUCCUAAUUCUUCAGGUCUAUGAAUCUCCCUUGAUGCCCUAAACCAUUUUUUUUAGUGUGGUACCCCAUGACCAGUUUUGAGAUGUUCUUUCGAUAAUAGUUUGAUAUUGUAACAUCUACAACCCUUUCACACACUGGAUGCUACAUAUGUUACCAUAUUCUUCCUCCACCUUCUCCUUGUGUAACUGUCUUCCAUCUUCAGACCAGAUCCUCUGUGCAUCCAUCUGGAUGUGCUCCAGUUUCUCCCUUUCCGCUCUCAUCCGCCCACCCAAUGUUGUGAUGUGAUGUGCAGAGUCUAGUUGCCUUGAAUCCUGGAAGUUGCUGUCGACCUUGUGUGACUAUUUGCAUUUGCAUCAUAGCCAUCCAAACCAGAAAAAUAAGUUUAGGGGUUAAGUGGGUUCAGAAAUCAUAUAGAGGGGAAGUGAGGCAAACUAGUUUAGAGGGGAACUGGACUUUUUCUUUUUUUGAGAAACACACAACAUAAAGGUGCUUCACAGUCGAUGGAACGUCGUCUCUCAUUAAAAGAACAUUGCCGGAAAGUCUGGAAUAAAUCCAAGAAAUUGCUAGCACCCAUGCACAAGGACUUGAACCGCGGUGUGCUUGAUCCACCAUAAGGAAGCUAACAAUCGGAGACAUUCAGUUCACAAAUGGACCUUUUUCUUAUAUGAGUACUUUGUAGCUCUUCUUGAUUCUACAUAACCCUGCUGUUUGGAUCCACACCUAGCUAGAUUCUUUGUUCACUGCACAUGAUCACCUUAUUGAUGUCCUUUCUAUACUGGCUAAGCGCAUAAGACUAAUGUCUCAAUCCAUCCCUUGUUUGAACUACUACGUGCUUGUUAAUGAUAUUGAUCACUCUUGAUCCUUUUUUAAACCGUUGCUUAUCACCCAAUUCUAUAUCUGCCAAACUAAUUAUCAUGGAUCGAAGUGACACAUGAAUUAAAUUUGUAGCAUAUGAGAUUAUAAUGAAGGUUCAGAAAAGUGCUUUCGAAUUUUUNNNNNNNNNNNNNNNNNNNNNNNNNNNNNNNNNNNNNNNNNNNNNNNNNNNNNNNNNNNNNNNNNNNNNNNNNNNNNNNNNNNNNNNNNNNNNNNNNNNNGGCGACGAGGAGGGGAUCGCCGGGUAGGAUUAUGCUAUGCGAUGCUACUUGGAGGACUUCAAUCUACUCUCUUCUACAUGCUGCAAGAUGGAGAUGUCCAGAAGCGUAGUCUUCGACAGGACUAGCUAUCCCCCUUUUAUUCUGGCAUUCUGCAGUUCAGUCCACUGAUAUGGCCCUUUACACAUAUACCCAUGCAUAUGUAGUGUAGCUCCUUGCUUGCGAGUACUUUGGAUGAGUACUCACGGUUGCUUUUCUCCCUCUUUUCCCCUUUCUAUACCUGAUUGUCGCAACCAGAUGCUGGAGUCCAGGAGCUAGAGGUCCCGAGGAUGAUUCUACUUGGAGUUCGGCUUCGAGGAGUAGUUAGGAGGUCCCAGGCAGGAGGCCUGCGCCUCGUUCGAUCUGUAUCCCAGUUUGUGCUAGCCUUCUUAAGGCAAACUUGUUUAACUUAUGUCUGUACUCAGAUAUUGUUGCUUCCGCUGACUCGUCUAUGAUCGAGCACUUGUAUUCGAGCCCUCGAGGCCCCUGGCUUGUAUUAUGAUGCUUGUAUGACUUAUUUAUGUUUUAGAGUUGUGUUGUCAUAUCUUCCCGUGAGUCCCUGAUCUUGAUCAUACACAUUUGCGUGCAUGAUUAGUGUACGGUCAAAUCGGGGGCGUCACAAUAAGAAUACCCAAAACAGUUGGGUAUACCUCCUAUUUCAGAUCUGGAAGCAAAAGUAAUUGCUUCUAGAAACAGGUCCUUUCUCGAGGAAAAGUUUCUCUCGAAAGAAUUGAGUGGGAGGAUGGUGGAGACUUGAUGAGGUUAUUGGACCAUAACUUCAACUAGUGUGUAGCAGGGCACAGGAAGUUGUUCCUGUGGCACCUACACCAAUUGAAGUGGAAGCUUAUGAUAGUGAUCAUGAAACUUCGGAUCAAGUCACUACCAAACCUCGUAGGACGACGAGGAUGCGUAAUACUUCAGAGUAGUACGUGAUCCUGUCUUGGAAGUCAUGUUGUUGGACAAUGAUGAACCUAUGAGCUAUGGAGAAGCGAUGGUGGGCCCAUAUUCCGACAAAUGGUUAGAAGCCGUGAAAUCCGAGAUAGGAUCCAUGUAUGAGAACAAAGCAUGGACUUUGGUGAACUUGCCCGUUGAUCGGCAAGCCAUUGAGAUAAAUGGAUCUUUAAGAAGAAGACGGACAUGGACGGUAAUGUUACCGUCUAUGAAGCUCGACUUGUGGCAAAGAGUAUUUUCACAAGUUCAAGGAGUUGACUACGAUGAGAUUUUCUCAUCCGUAGCGAUGCUUAAGUCCGUCGGAAUCAUGUUAGCAUUAGCUGCAUUUAUGAAAUCUGGCAGAUGGAUGUCAAAACAAGUUUCCUUACCAGUUUUCGUAAGGAAAGUUUGUAUGUGAUACAAUCAGAAAGGUUUUGUCGAUCCUAAGGAUGCUAAAAGGUAUGCUAGCUCCAGCGAUCCUUCCAUGGACUAGAGCAAGCAUCUCGGAGUCAGAAUAUACGCUUUGAUGAAGUGAUCAAAGUUUUUGGGUUUAUACAAAGUUUGUUAGAAACUUGUAUUUACAAUAAAGUGAGUGGGAGCGCUACAACAUUUCUGAUAAGUAUAUGUGAAUGACAUAUUGUUGAUCCGAAAUGAUGUAAAAAUUUCUGGAAAGCAUAAAGGGUUGUUUGAAAGGAGUUUUUCAAAGGAAGACCUGGAUAAAGCUGCUUACAUAUUGGGCAUCAAGAUCUAUAGAGAUAGAUCAAGACGCCCGAUGAUACUUUCAAAGAACGCACACCUUGACAUGAUUUUGAAAGAGUUCAAAAUAGAUCAGCAAAGGAGUUCUUGGUUGUGUUACAAGGUGUGAGUAUUGAGUAAGACUCAAGACCUGACCACAGCAGAAGAGAGAGAAAGGACGAAGGUCGUCCCCUAUGCUUUAGACGUAGGCUCUACAGUAUGCUAUGCCGUGUACCGCACAUGAAGUGUGCCUUGCCAUGAGUUGGUCAAGGGGUACAAUAGUGAUCCGGGAGUGGAUCACAUGACAGCGGUCGAACUUAUCCUUAGUAUCUAGUGGACUAAGGAAUUUUCUCGAUUAUGGAGGUGAAAAGGAGUUCGUCNNNNNNNNNNNNNNNNNNNNNNNNNNNNNNNNNNNNNNNNNNNNNNNNNNNNNNNNNNNNNNNNNNNNNNNNNNNNNNNNNNNNNNNNNNNNNNNNNNNNUUGAAAUCCCUUUGUAACAGAUGAGUUUCCGUAUGAAACCCUGAUACUUCGAAAGAGAUUGUCCAUUUUGUACACGAAGUGCAUCUAAUUUUUGUCGUAACCCUCCCUACUUUCUUUCGCAUGCUAUGUGGAUGAAAUGAUGAUACCAUGCCAACUUUCAACCUUUUCAGAGUUCAUUUGAAAUGCAUUUCAAUUUCAUGGUCUUAUAGCUCAAAAUAAGCAGUAAAUGCAUGAAAAAUAACAAAUGAAGUCAGAAAGGGUUGAAAAUUGAUGAUGUGGCUUUGAAUGGUGCAUUUUGAACACAGAAAAAGUCUCGAGUUCAAAUAAGUCCAAAAAAUGAAAUCCCUUUGUAACCGACGAGUUUCCGUAUGAAACCGUGAUACUUCGAAAGAGACUGUCCGUUUUGUACACGCAGUGCAUCCAAUUUUUGCCGUAACCCUCUCUACUUUCUUGCACAUGCUAUGUGGGUGAAAUGAUAAUACCAUGCGACCUUUCAACCUUUUCAGAGUUCAUUUGAAAUGCUUUUAAAUUUCAGGGUCUUAUAGCUCAAAAUAAGCAGUAAAUGCAUGAAAAAUAACAAAUGAAGUCAGAAAGGGUUAAAAAUUGAUGAUGUGGCUUUGAAUGGUGCAUUUUGAACACACAAAAAGUCAGGAGUUCAAAUAAGUUUAAAAAAAUGAAAUCCCUUUGUAUCAGACGAGUUUCCGUAUGUAACACUGAUACUUCGAAAGAGAUUGUCCAUUUUGUACACGCAGUGCAUCCAAUUUUUGCCGUAACCCUCUCAACUUUCUUGCAUAUGCUAUGUGGAUGAAAUGAUGAUACCAUGCCAACUUUCAACCUUUUCAGAGUUCAUUUGAAAUGCUUUUCAAUUUUAGGGUCUUAUAGCUCAAAAUAAUAAGUAAAUGCAUGAAAAAUAACAAAUGAAGUCAGAAAGGGUUGAAAUUUGAUGAUGUGGCUUUGAAUAGUGCAUUUUGAACACACAAAAAGUCUGGAGUUCAAAUAAGUUCAAAAAUUGAAAUCCCUUUGUAACAGAUGAGUUUCCGUAUGAAACCCUGAUACUUCGAAAGAGAUUGUCCAUUUUGUACACGAAGUGCAUCUAAUUUUUGCCGUAACCCUCUCAACUUUCUUGCAUAUGCUAUGUGGAUGAAAUGAUGAUACGAUGCCANNNNNNNNNNNNNNNNNNNNNNNNNNNNNNNNNNNNNNNNNNNNNNNNNNNNNNNNNNNNNNNNNNNNNNNNNNNNNNNNNNGUCUUAUAGCUCAAAAUAAGCAGUAAAUGCAUGAAAAAUAACAAAUGAAGUCAGAAAGGGUUAAAAAUUGAUGAUGUGGCUUUGAAUGGUGCAUUUUGAACACACAAAAAGUCAGGAGUUCAAAUAUGUUUAAAAAAAUGAAAUCCCUUUGUAACAGACGAGUUUCCGUAUGUAACCCUGAUACUUCGAAAGAGAUUGUCCAUUUUGUACACGAAGUGCAUCCAAUUUUUGCCGUAACCCUCCCUACUUUCUUUCACAUGCUAUGUGGAUGAAAUGAUGAUACCAUGCCAACUUUCAACCUUUUCAGAGUUCAUUUGAAAUGCUUUUCAAUUCCAGGGUCUUAUAGCUCAAAAUAAGCAGUAAAUGCAUGAAAAAUAACAAAUGAAGUCAGAAAGGGUUGAAAAUUGAUGAUGUGGCUUUGAAUGGUGCAUUUUGAACACAGAAAAAGUCUGGAGUUCAAAUAAGUUCAAAAAAUGAAAUCCCUUUGUAACCGACGAGUUUCCGUAUGAAACCCUGAUACUUCGAAAGAGACUCUCCGUUUUGUACACGAAGUGCAUCCAAUUUUUGCCGUAACCCUCUCUACUUUCUUGCACAUGCUAUGUGGGUGAAAUGAUAAUACCAUGCGACCUUUCAACCUUUUCAGAGUUCAUUUGAAAUGCUUUUAAAUUUCAGGGUCUUAUAGCUCAAAAUAAGCAGUAAAUGCAUGAAAAAUAAUAAAUGAAGUCAGAAAGGGUUAAAAAUUGAUGAUGUGGCUUUGAAUGGUGCAUUUUGAACACACAAAAAGUCAGGAGUUCAAAUAAGUUUAAAAAAAUGAAAUCCCUUUGUCUCAGACGAGUANNNNNNNNNNNNNNNNNNNNNNNNNNNNNNNNNNNNNNNNNNNNNNNNNNNNNNNNNNNNNNNNNNNNNNNNNNNNNNNNNNNNNNNNNNNNNNNNNNNNAUCAAAAUAUUAUUAUAUAGAACUACCUACUUUAUUUUAGUAAGAAAUUAAUAGAACUAGUUUAUUUUUAGUAAAUGCUUAGUUGAAUUAAUAGAACUAGUUUAUUUAGUUGAAUUAAUAGAACUAGUAAGUGUUUAAUGUUUCACCUAUAUAUGAACAUAUGUUAGAUAUUAAUGUCAAAUGUUAGAUGAAUUAGAUAUAAAUUAUAUGUUAGAUAUAUAUUUAAUUUAGUUAUAUGAGAUUUCAUUAUCUAAUUAACAUUUUAUUAUAUAGAACUAGCUACCUUAUUUUUAGUAAGAAAAUUAAUAGAACUAGUUUAGUUGAAUUAAUUAGUUGAACUAGUUAGUUGAAUUAGUUCAAUUAAUUAGGUAUAUUCUUCGUAAGUGCUUAGUUGAAUUAGUUCAAUUAAUUAGCUGAACUAGUUGAAUUAACAGAAGAACUAAUAAGUGUUUAAUGUUUCACAUAUGAAUAUAGGAAUGUCGUCUGACGACGAACACGAUUUCAUUAUGUGUGAAUACUGCGAAGACCAGCGCGGCCUGUGCGGCAGAAAUUUUCUAGUUGAUGAUAGACGCUUCAGCAUCAAGCUGGAUGAGAACUUCGAAGUGGAUAUAGUAAGUCACAACGACAAGUCUUUUUUCGUAAUUAAGCAUGACUUAUGCUUCAUUUGCUUCAACUUUUAAUUUUAAUUUUUCACUAUUCUACUAGCGUAUCCCCUGCCAUGCAAGAAUUUUUGUUUUAAAUAAGAUAGGUUUCAGUCCUAACGAAACUAUGGAGGUAAAAAGAGUUUACUUGAAGACCGAGCAUGGUUAUACCUUCAACGUCAAAUUAUACAAUGCAGACACAUACACCUAUUUUGAAUGCAAAACUUGGCAAUCACUAUGCAAGGCUUAUGCAUUUGAGCCUGAUAUGGUGAUCACCUUUGAUAUUCGUCCGGAAGAUGAUAUUGAAGGUAAUAGAGACAUCUGGGUCGAUGUGCAGACGCCUCCAGUUCUACCAUUAUGUGAGUUUCUCAACCAUAUUUAUGUCUUCGAUAUGAGAUUAUUUGAACCAGUUGAAUAAUUAAUAGAUCUCAAUUUAUAUUGACAACUUACUUCCAAUCAAGCAAACAUGUCCGGCGCUUGGUAGACAGGACCGUCCACUGUCCCAGGGCUGAACUAAACUACGAGGAGACAAGUCAUUAUGUUUCAUGGCUUGAGGAUCUUGAUGCUGUCAAGACAAAUUUCUUUCCUGCACUUAGAAAUGUUAGUACUCAAAACGUGCGACCAAUAGUGUUCGUACUGAACUACAGUCACAUAUAUUUAGGAAAGAUGAUAAGAUUUCUACUAUUUCUCCUCAGUGCAUCUUUUGCAUACAUUUUUUUAAGCUAAACUUCAUUGCUAAGUAUGUUACUAUACGAUGUUCUUCAAUAGGGACUCCCGAUGAAUGUUGUGCCUGAGUGGAUCGAGACUAAAGGUACCAUGAAUAUUGUUAGCUUACGGCCAAUAUAUCCUACAAUGCACUUUAGUGCAUUCAGGAUUUCUAAUAGCGAGGAAUGCUUAAUAGUAAAAGACUGGAGCAAAAUUGUGAACGAUCACAGAGAAGUACUAGGGGGCAGCAAUCAGAAGCGCAACCCACGAUUAGGAGACAUGUUCAUCUGCAUGCUCCAAUAUGAUGAAUCAGCAAAGCUAUACAUGUUCUAUGCUAUUUUACCCGAGAGAGAGCAGCAGGAGUGAUUAAUUAGCUAGUUCAUGCUCUUAGUACUUGUCCUCUCAUGUCCGUGUUCUUCGUCCUGAACUUAAUCUCAAAGAGUGAUUUGCUUUUGUGGUGUUAUGAACGCUUAUAAUAUCAUUACCAUGUUGAACUCGAUGAUAUCUUUGCUAUGAAAACCGUUGGUGAUGAUAUAUAUGAUGCAAGAGUUUUUAUAUUAAUUAAUAUGAUGAUGAUGAUGAGUUAUUAUAUCAUUUAUGAAAGAAAUUGCAUAUUAGUUUCAACUGGAUGGAUUCUAGCUAAGUGAUCAAGUAUAUGCCAUAUCCAUAUUACCUCGAUCACUUAAGUAGGUGAUCAAGUAUAUAUAAUAUGGAUAUGACAUAUACUUGAUGACUNNNNNNNNNNNNNNNNNNNNNNNNNNNNNNNNNNNNNNNNNNNNNNNNNNNNNNNNNNNNNNNNNNNNNNNNNNNNNNNNNNNNNNNNNNNNNNNNNNNNUGUGGAUGUGAGAUGUAAAAUAUUUCUGCCUGGCCAGGCUUGUGUGGUGCUGAAGCGUUUGGUUCAUGCCUGGGCCAGGCAAAGCAUCAACGUCCCAUCAAUCAAUCCAUGCAGCAAUUAUUUAAUGCUAAUAUCCAUCCAUGUUGCUAUUAGCCUUAUGGCCGCACGACCAGGCAUGGCCAGGCGUUCGAAAUCGGUCGCCUGGGCUAGGCUACUUCCAGUGUCUAGAGUCCAGCCAGGCUAAUUAAAGUGCAAGGGAAUCCAGGCCAGGCGGGCUUUUUUUCACAGGGUAGCAACCAAACAAGUGUGCAUGAAAUCCAGCCACAACCCCAGGCCAGGCAAAACAUGCUCAGGACGCAAGCCAAACUGACCUUAUAUCUCCCUGGUUCACACAUACACAUGUCUCGCCUGCGCUAUACAUAUAGACCCAUCCAACACUCUCCGCCCUUGUUCUGUCUCCAUGUGACACGCACCCCUCCUAAGUUUGAUUAUCUCUUACUAGCCAUCAGGAACACACGUAUUGUCUCCUUCCAUCCAUACGUCUAUCUCGAUAUCUAUCGGGGCAUCUUCUAUCGUGCACACACCUUGUCACUCGAUCUCCCACCCAUGUAGUCCCAUCACGAUCUCCAGGGGAUCUCUCUAUGACAAACAUACACUCUCUCCUCCCCAUGUCUGCAUUUUCUCUGUACGUCUCUCCCGACCUCUCUCCCUUUUUUUAGACCCCUCUUGGCCACGUGCUAGGGUUCUUGCUCUCUCGGUCCCAAACAACCACACACUAUCUCCUCACCUUGCCUCCGUUGUCGAAGAUGCAUGUGUGAUAUGUUUGCAUAAGACAUGCACACUUUUUCUCUACUUUUAUCGUGUGUUGUCCAUGUCUCUUUCACACACGCACACCCACUUUUUUCACUCACUCUUUCUAUUUCUCUCUCUCUCUAGUUAGGGACUCUGUCAUGUCCAUAAGCAUAUGGAUGUUUUGAAAAGUUAAACCUCAGAAAAGUUUGACCAGGUAUAUGUGGAGAAAAACAUUUACAUCUGGAACGAUCAUUAGAUUCAUCACAACAUGUACUUACUUCAUACUAUCAUUUAUCUUUGGUAUUGUAGAUAUAAGUAAUUUCUUUAUAAACAUUGUCAAAGUUUCAAAAGUUUGACUUUAAAAAAAAUUGGAACUACAUUAUUGAACGAAGGGAGUAGCUCUCUCUCUCUCUCUCUCUCUCUCUCUCUCUCUGCUAUCUCUCACGGGCCUACCCUCUCACUUGAACUCUCUAUACCAACGGAUUAUAUGCUCACUGUGUCAGCGUAUAGCUCCGUAUAUUGUUUAGUUGACCAGUCAACCAGUCCACAUGCUGCCUUGUCAGCUCGUGUUCUGUAUCUUCGUGUGCUGGCCCAUGUGGCAGUGGGUGAAAAUAAGUAAACUAGGGGCCCAUCUGACAUGCAGUGAUGUAAACAAUGUUGAAACCACUCGGGGUAGCACCCCGCACUCUAGUAAAUUGAGGGCUCAUUGAGGACACACUUCUUGCGCAUGAAGGAUGCACUCGCGCACAAUUCAGCACUGCGUGGUGGCAUGCACAGAAGGACACACUCGCUCACACCCAGCACACAACACACACCAGCACAUGUUUACACCGGCGUCGCCGCCGGUUGAGAUGGACGGCGAGGCAGCCAACAAGUGGAGGUGGCUCGAGCCAAAACCGCAUUCGGCGAGCCUGGACUUCAUCAGCAACCUCCCCGAUGACAUGCUGCUCAUCAUCAUCGGCCUCAUCCCCACCAAAUCUACCGUGCGGACCGCCCUGCUCUCCUUGUGGUGGCGCCCCCUCUAGAGCCGCGUCCCCCUCAACCUCACCAUCGACAGCUGCCUCUGCAACGGGGAUUGCAAACGCAUGGCCGCAGUCUCCAAGAUCCUUUCAUCGCACCCUGGGCCAACCAGAUGCCUUGACAUACGCAUGUUCAGUACCAACUGCAAGGUCCAAACCAAGUUCGACGAGUGGUUCUUAUCCCCCGCACUAGAUCAGCUCGAGGACCUCAGCUUUGAAGCUGGACGAUGUCGCUCUCUGCUGCCGUCCGCGCUCCGCCUCACGCCAACANNNNNNNNNNNNNNNNNNNNNNNNNNNNNNNNNNNNNNNNNNNNNNNNNNNNNNNNNNNNNNNNNNNNNNNNNNNNNNNNNNNNNNNNNNNNNNNNNNNNUAUAGGCAUCAUGUCCAAGAUUAGUAGACCGACUCCUGCCUGCAUCUACUACUAGUACUCCACACAUCGACCGCUAUCCAGCAUGCAUCUAGUGCAUUAAGUUCAUGGAGAAACAGAGUAAUGCAAUAAAAACGAUGACAUGAUGUAGACAAGAUCUAUUUAUGUAGAAAUAGACCCCAUCUUGUUGUCCUUAAUAGCAAUGAUACAUACGUGUCGGUUCCCCUUCUGUCACUGGGAUCAAGCACCGUAAGAUCGAACCCAUCACAAAGCACCUCUUCCCAUGGCAAGAAAAAUCGAUCUAGUCGGCCUAACUAAACCAAAGAUUCGAAGAAGAAAUAUGAGGCUAUAAGUAAUCAUACAUAUAAGAGAUCAAAAGACUCAAAUAACUUUCAUGGAUAAAAACAUAGAUCUGAUCAUAAACUCAAAGUUCAUCGGAUCCCAACAAACACACCGCGAAAAGAGUUACAUCAAAUAGAUCUCCAAGAGACCAUUAUAUUGAGAAUCAAAAGAGAGAGAGAGGAGAGAGAGAGAGAGUGGGAGAGAGAGAGAGAGAUAGAUAGAUAGAUAGAGAGAGAGAAAGCCAUCUAUCUACUAACUACGGAUCCGUGGGUCUACAAUGAACUACUCACGCGUCAUCAGAGAGGCACCAAUGAGGAUGAUGAAACCCUCUAUGAUGGUGUCUAGAUUGGAUCUGUGGUUUAUGGAACUUGCGGCGGCUGGAAUUGAUUUUUGUCGACUCCCCUAGGGUUUCUAGAAUAUUAGGGUAUUUAUAGAGCAAAGAGGCGGUGCAGGAGGCCACUAAGGUGGGCACAACACACCUGGGCGCGCCUGGGCCCCCAGGCACGCCCUGGUGGGUUGUGCUCCCCUUGGAUCUCCCCUCAGGUACUUUCUUGGCCCAACAGGUGUCUUCUGGUCUAGAAAAAAUCACCAAAAAGUUUCCCUGCGUUUGGACUCCGUUUGGUAUUGAUCUUCUGCGAAGUAAAAAACAAGCAAAAAACAGCAAGUGGCACUGGGCACUAUGUCAAUAGGUUAGUCCCAAAAAAUGAUAUAAAGUUGCUAUAAAAUGAUUGUAAAACAUCCAAGAUUGAUAAUAUAACAGCAUGGAACAAUAAAAAAUUAUAGAUAUGUUGGAGACGUAUCAAAACUCUCUCAAAGUGAGGCAAAGAAUAACUCCAAAGUCUCUAUUCUUAUUGGAGAAAGUAGGAUGAAAUCGCGUAGGUAGUAAACCAUCUCAAAGUUGGGUUUCCAAUCAAUCUUAUGAACCACCCCAAAGUGUCACGAAUAGUUCUAGAGAUUGUACUCCGACAACACCAUAUGAUACUAAUCAAUCAACUCUAAUGUCACCUACAUACUCCAAUGUCACCACGAGUAUCUGCGAGUGAGACAUGCAUCAGAUCUCAAAUCCAAAGUAUUCAAUCCGAUAACAGAGAAACCUCAAAGAGCAAUAUUUAGUUCACCACAAAAGAGAUAGAGGGGAAGAACCCCAUAUGAUAUAUUAACAAACUUCAUGGUACAUAAACAUCUCCUAUAAAGAUCACGAGAGAGGGAGAGAGAGAGAGAGAGAGACCAAACACAUAGAUACUGGUACAUACCCUCAGCCCCGAGGGUGAACUACUCCCUCCUCGUCAUGGAGGCAACAAGGAUGAUGAAUAUGGCCUCUGUGAUGGAUUCCUCCUCCGGCGGAGCAGCGGGAAAGGCCUCCAAAUGAGAUCACUUUGGAACAGAGGCUUGCGGCGGCAGAGAAAAAGUUCUAGGUUACUUUUCGGACAUUUCUGGAUUUAUAGGAAUUUUUAGCAUUGGAUUCACGCUAGGGGGAGUCCCAAGGGUCCCACAACCUCAGGUGGCACGCCCGGGGGGCGUUCCCCUUGAGCUUGUGGGCCCCCUAGCACCUUCUGGUCCUUCCUCGAAGCUUCCUGGGUCCCUUCUUGUCCAUAAAAAAACACCGUAAAUUUUUAUCGCGUUUGGACUUCAUUUGGUAUGGUUUUUCUACGAAAUUAAGAAAAUGGUGCACAUAUUAUCUCACUAGUGAUAAUAUAGACUGAUCUAUGAGAAAUUGUACUAAAGUGUUUGAUUGACUAAGGNNNNNNNNNNNNNNNNNNNNNNNNNNNNNNNNNNNNNNNNNNNNNNNNNNNNNNNNNNNNNNNNNNNNNNNNNNNNNNNNNNNNNNNNNNNNNNNNNNNNUAGUAAUUAUGUUUCAAAAAAAAAUUCAAUUUUUUUUAUUUUUUAAACUAGUAAUGGCGCACCACAACUAGUAAUGGCGCACCCCUCCCACGGUGCGCCAUUAGUAAUUUGGCCCAAACAUCCCCCCAAAUGCACCCCCCGCUGGACCGCCUUUUCAGUUUGAAAAAAAAUAAAAGAAAAUGAUACGAAUGUCAAAAAAAUAAAAGAAAAUAAGAUUCCCAUGUGAUAUGUGGUCUAGUUGUUAGCAAAAUUUACAAACAUGAGUUUUCGACUUUUUUGCAAAAUCUCUCGAGAAUUUUUAAAAAUGGGCAUAACUUUUGCAUUCGAACUCGGAUGAAAAAGUUUUUUAUAUGAAAAAUCAUCUACUCGAAAAGUUACAUCCGAAUUUAUGCUGCCACUGAACCUUCAGGAAAUUGGCCUCUGCAACUAACACGUGCAAAUAUAUUAGCUACAUGCUACUACACACCGUCUCCGCAAGUAGUUGUAAUUUUCGGUCAGUUUUCACUUGUUUCCAUGUCUAUGGGACUCAAUACUUCGCCACAUGAACCGUACCAAUAAGGAGACACAUUUGACUGUUCCUCCCGAUAUGGCGCACACGUCCCUAGGAUGAAAAAGUCAUAAGUUUUUAAUUGCAAAAUACAAUCUUUUAGUGAAUUUCCCAAUAUGUGGAGAUAUCAACCUUAGGGGCCUGUUCGGUACUUCUCCAUGGCCUCAAAAUCCUGAACUCCACCACCAGCUUCCCAUCGCCAGCUUCUCAUGAGAGCGCCGCGAUCGAGCGAUCCAUUCGGCAGCACAGCUUCUUUCUCGCUAGCAUUGGCCUGGGCCAGCGGCCCAUAUGGGCCGGAUAUGGCCCGACUAGAGAGAAAAUCAGUAGGUGCUCGCUGUAUGUAUCGCACGUGAAAUAAGGCUCGAACCGGUACGUUCACUUGGCGGUGGCAUCAACAGGUAAUUUUGACCAAACUCCAACUCCUGAAGAACCUGGGAGCCCGGAAUGACCAGCUCCGUGACUCCACGAAAAAGGCACUGCGCUCCGCGCCGGCUUCUGUAACUGAACUCUAGGAAUUGACACGUUCGGUUGGACUCCACGCGCGGAUUCGAGGAUUUGAGAAGCCAGACCACUACCGAACACACCCUAGGUUUUACUAUCAAAGGACUACCAUGCCAUAUGAUUCCACACCAUCGGUCAAAUUACAAAUGACGGCAUGAGCACCAUACCAAAUGUAAAACUUUUCGCAGCCAAUGGUUGCCUUCAACAAGGAGGGUACCGGAUGUUAUAUCUACGUCAUAGGUAUUUUGCAAUUUGAGAAGGGGCUUGGUUCCUCAACACUAAUGGGGUACAUUGCUAUCCACAAUAUGCGAUCCGUACCAAUUGAUAAAUUUGUCGUUACGAUCCAUUGGUUUAACAUUUCUAUCGUCAUAGUAAAUUCUGAUUACAUGCAUGCAUCAUUUUGUAAAAAAAUUCCAUCUAUUAGUCGAUGGCAUGGCAACUGAGUGACGUAACUUGAUUACGGAGGCUUCAUAAGAACGAAUAUCACUCGCUUGUCCGUGUGCCUAAUAAAUUGGAAAGGAUAGAGUACGUCAUAAAUAAAAUGAGGGAUGGGCGUACUGAAACUAUACUCGUCUCAACUACUUAAUUAAUUGGAAAAUUUUGGUUUGUGUCAUUAUCGAAUUGAGACUUUCGAAGGCUGCCACUGAAACUUCAUUAAAUUGGCCUCUGCAACUAGCAGCUGGGAAGUUAUUCGCCACAUGCCGCUAGACACUUUCUUCCCAAGCAUCGGUCAUGUUGUCAUCAGCUUUCGGUUGUUCCUCGAUUCUCGAACCUACAACUUCGCCACAUCGACCGCACCAACGAGUGGUCAAAGACCCCACCAAAAAAAGAGAAAGAAAUAUAAUAAAAGAGAGAGAAGGAGAGAGAGGAGGCACACAAAUAUGCUUUAUAGAUACUUAUACUUCAAAGUAGCACCAUGUAUUUCAUAGAUAGAGUUUUUAUAUUAUCCAUUUCAUAUGCUACACUACUACAAAAACAGCUAUAGCCAAUAUGGACACUAAUGGCGCACUGUACAUGUGGUGCGCCAUUACUANNNNNNNNNNNNNNNNNNNNNNNNNNNNNNNNNNNNNNNNNNNNNNNNNNNNNNNNNNNNNNNNNNNNNNNNNNNNNNNNNNNNNNNNNNNNNNNNNNNNUAGAAAAAUUGGGUUAAUAAAAUAUUCAAGUUUGAAUCGUGACAUUGCUGAUUGAAAAAUUAUUCGUAAAUUUCCAAAAAUAUGAUUAUAUAAAAAUGUUCAAGAAUUCAAAAAAUUGUAUGUGAGAUUUUUUUUACAAAUUCUGAAAUACUCAUGAAUUCAGAAAGUGUUUCCGAAUUUAAAAAUAUUUGUGAAUUUAAAAAUAUUUGUGAAUUUAAAAAUAUUUGCAAAUUUGAGCAAUAUUUGUAGACUUGAAAACAUGAAUUGUAAAAAAUUAUGAACAAAAAGAAAAAUGGAAAAAGAAAAGAAAACUAAAAUAAACUGAAUAAGCAGUGAAAAUAGAAGAAAAAAUAUAAAAAUCCUUCAGGAAUAUUUUCAAACUGUGUGAAAGAUUCUAGAAGCCUCAUGAAACCGUCAUCCUUAAAAAAAACAGAAAAUACUGCUAGCAAUACCCAAUAAAACCCGCUAAGGAAAGUGUGUGUAGCCAGUGCUACUGGGGUGGCCCACGUUGAAGCGAUUGUGAGGGAUUCACUUGUAGAGGUCACUACAUGCAAUAUAUCUCAGUUGCCUCCAUGUACCCUAAACUUAAGAUUUUAUCACAAUUUCCAUUGUUGCCCAUUAACUCCACAUGCCAAGUUAACCAAUCCCUUUAUUUCUUGAAAAUCAAUGUUUGCUUCUUCUCGAUCUUAGGCUUUGUCCCUAACAUCCCGCGGUAAUUGUUAAACACCAUCGCUCACCAAUCAUAAACGUCACUGUAUACCAUCGCACACCAAUCAUAAACGCCACCGUGUACCGACAACAAUGUGUCCUCGCCCUUGUGGUCUCUACACAGAUCUGUGCACAACGUCGUCAACUUGCUUAUUAGACUUACGUUAUAAUAGUGGUAUUAACCAAAAAUUCGAAGGAGUGCAUGUCCUCACCUGAUCAUGGUAUCCUACACCGUACACGCCACCAAGAUCUGACACGCCAAACGCUCGUGGGACAUAGUACGCUGCUGUAAUGCAUUUAUUGGCCCAUCAAGCGUUGUAACGUCAUCAGGUUGCUAGAGAACUUCACGUCCAGCUCUGUCAUGUGGCCGCGGCCAAGUCAUAGCCUCAGGAGAGUGUAGCUAUGUACUUCCACGGUAUGGGAACACUUUUUCUACAAGAAUAUUCAUGUAUAAUAGAAAAAAAGGUCCUUAUACACAUGUUCAUAAUAUUAGUCGUGUAUUGGAAAAUUCAUCAAAUAUUUUAUUUUUUUAAACGAGGUUUCUUAGGGCUCGAUUCGUUAAAAAGUAGAAGAGAGUUGUCUGAUUAAUUAACGGAAACCCGGGUGAAAACCGUCACAACAAGCCAACAACAUGGCACCAUAAACACACGCCGACCCCGAGGCCACACACCAGGCGAACCGUUGACUUCGUCACUCUAGCAACCCUUAGCCGACACCCUAAAACAAAAACUAAAGCGGCUGCUCCGGCAUUCAAGCCGACCCGAGGCCGCGCACCAGGCGAGCCACCUACUCUGCCGCCCGGGAAACCGAAGCUGACACCCGACAACCAUCUCUGGAGUCCCCGCUCUGACGUACACAUGAAAACCCCACACACUGACCCCGAGGCCCCACACCAGGCGAGCCACCAGCUUCAUCACCCGAGCAACCGCAGUCGACACUCGAGGCUGCUCUGCUCGCCCACGCCAACUCUACCUAGGGGACUAGAGCCGCCUCACCAGACCCACGCACCCAGCCGCGCCACCCGGCCAGCAGAGCAACAGGAGAGCGUCCUCGCAAAAAAAAACCUCACGAAAAAAAGAGCCAUAGGAGAGCGCCCAGCCCGUUGCGUGUAUGCGCCUCCCAGCACACACACUCCCAUGCCGCACCGUCCACCAUUUGACCCCCAACCACGCUGCUCGCAGCUCAACCAAGGAACCGUUGCGGAUGCUGCAUGCAGUAGCUCAUCUUGCACGGCUCCCGCUUAGGUGAAGCCAUGCCGGAUCCAACCUAGGAUGACCAGAUCCGGCCGCCAUGCAUCUCCACCGUCCCUCAGCAGCGGGAUGUUCAUCGUGUACUUGAAAAUAUAUUCAUCAUAUAUUUUAAAAAUAUUCAUCNNNNNNNNNNNNNNNNNNNNNNNNNNNNNNNNNNNNNNNNNNNNNNNNNNNNNNNNNNNNNNNNNNNNNNNNNNNNNNNNNNNNNNNNNNNNNNNNNNNNGUAGACACUGCAUUACAACCACCAUGAGCAACGACACUGCCACCUUACUCGGACUCCUCGUUCACGUGCUCGACUUCGUCCUUGUCCCUCUUCCUCUUGGCCGAUACUUCUUUGCUAGAACCACACACUUGGAUCUUGCUCUUCAUCCAACCCUUGUAGAUACUGAAACAAAGGUAGGCAUCCAUCACAACGUAGUGGAUGUGGUCUAUAUCUAGUACAUUCCACUGCCAUGCAUGACAAUGAAACUUGGGUGGAGGUUUCUUCAGUUUAUCGUAUGAAGGAUGAACCAUGGCUCCUGCUAGGGUCAGCAUUGAAGGCUGACAGGAGGACACCAGAACAUUCCUAUAGAGGUCUAAGGGCUCGCCUACAAUGAGUCCUAUCCGACCCAGGACUUCUUUGUCAUUCAUAAAGUCUACAGUAACGAAUUUGACUAUGCCGCCCCUGAGGAAGUUCCUAAAUUCUUUGCACUCAACAUCGGCAUGGCAUAUGUGGUAGACCAAGCACAAAUUAUGCACGCAAACCUGGAUCACGACGAGAUUCUUCUUCUCUUCCUCCUUUAGAUUCUUCUCUUUGUCCCGGAUUGUGGUGUACUCAGAAUUUAGCCCAGCGACCCACUUUGCCUUUGAGUUUUCGAACAUGCGUCUGAAGCGAGCAAGGCAUCCUUUCACGGUCGCAGAAGAAGGGGUGUAGAUGAUGUCGAACUCAUCGCCGCUCAUGGUUCUAACCUUGUACUCAUCGCCGAUCAUGGAGAUUUGGGAGGAGGGUUAGGAUUAGUCGAGCUGCUGUAAUGUGAAAGGACGGGACGACUAGGAGCGAACUGUCGUAAUGUCAAAGGACGGCCGGGGACGAGUAGGAGCGAACCGCUAGCAGUUUUCCAAUUGUAAAAAUGCUGAGUGGGGCGUGCGAAUGGUAGGGCUUUCCAUGCUCCCAUGAUACGGGCUUCCGAGAGCCCUUAGAUCUUUGAUUGAAUGGUUGCAUGGCGUGAUUCUUCACCUAUGGGUGAAUAUCCUAUCCUAGAGGGUUAUUCUGCAAAUUUUUAGCAACUUAGCAUGCGACCGUUCGAUCUCAGAUCCAAGGGCUGUCAGCAGCCCGUAUCAUGGUCGCGCCUACCACGACAGUCGCCUCGCUCGCAUUGUCGCGCCCUUGGAGAUUUCAGACGGCUAUAAAUGAGCAUUUUUUGCCUACUUCGCAUGCAUGAAACUACUUCCUCCGUCCAGGUGCGUUAGGCUAUCUAAUGUUGGCAUGUCAUACAUAGUCAUCACUUAGUCACUCAUACAACAAGAUUAGCUAUAAGGUUGGCUAUAAGAGUAUUUUUUUUUACUUCUCUCUAUCUCUUUCUUCGUACUCCCUUCAUUUCAGUUUACAAGUCCUGCGCGUAUACUUAGGUUGUCAACUUUAUCACCGUAAUAUAAACUAUAUAACACAAAAAUUAUACCAUUUGAAAAUAGAAUGUCUGAAGUUUAUAAUGGUAUGUUUGUUGUAAUAGUGUAUAUGACUUCUAUUAGGUUGGUCAAAUUGACGACCUAGGGGUACGCGCACGCCUUGUAAACUGAGAGAGAGUAGUAUUUAUUGUGUUUGCCAAAAGGAGUAUACAGUACUUGGCACCUGUAUACCAUGGAGGUGGUCAGGAAACAGGAGACUCACGUCGGUCGUAGUGCCACAAUUAAAAUGUAAUGACAGGUCAAAUCACAGGUUCCACCUAUCCAGCAGUAACUCGCCGUCAAAUCACACAACCCUACAUUUGCAGCAGCCUACUCCCUCAUCUUCUCGCCUCUCUGUCAAACCAACUAGGCGGAACUGCCCCACCUACCGCACGGGAAAAGACCCGCCCUUGACUUUUAAAUAUAAUUUUGUAUCCAUGGAUUGCGCCAUGGAGCAAAGCCUCAAGAAAAUGACGGUACACAUGUAUACAACACGCCCGUUGCAUUCGCGUCGCACCCCAAACGGUCGGUCGGUCUGGCAUGCAAUUCUCCGAUAAUAUGUAUCCAUGUUAUACAUUGCAAAAAUAAUAUAAUUUGAAAGUACAUUCAGAUACGAACCAAAUGAUACAAUUUUUGGUGACAUGUAUUCACAUUUUGCUUNNNNNNNNNNNNNNNNNNNNNNNNNNNNNNNNNNNNNNNNNNNNNNNNNNNNNNNNNNNNNNNNNNNNNNNNNNNNNNNNNNNNNNNNNNNNNNNNNNNNAAGCAGUGCUCAAUACAAAUCCACCAUGAAGACCUUUCUCAUCCUUGCCCUCCUUGCUAUUGUAGCAACCACCGCCACAAUUGCAGUUAGAGUUCCAGUGCCACAAUUGCAGCCACAAAAUCCAUCUCAGCAACAACCACAAGAGCAAGUUCCAUUGGUACAACAACAACAAUUUCCAGGGCAGCAACAACCAUUUCCACCACAACAGCCAUAUCCGCAGCCGCAACCAUUUCCAUCACAACAACCAUAUCUGCAGCUGCAACCAUUUCCGCAGCCGCAACUACCAUAUCCGCAGCCGCAACUACCAUAUCCGCAGCCGCAACUACCAUAUCCGCAGCCGCAACCAUUUCGACCACAACAACCAUAUCCACAAUCGCAACCACAGUAUUCGCAACCACAACAACCAAUUUCGCAGCAGCAGCAGCAACAACAACAACAACAACAAAAACAACAACAACAACAACAACAACAACAGAUCCUUCAACAAAUUUUGCAACAACAACUGAUUCCAUGCAGGGAUGUUGUAUUGCAACAACACAGCAUAGCGUAUGGAAGCUCACAAGUUUUGCAACAAAGUACUUACCAGCUGGUGCAACAAUUGUGUUGUCAGCAGCUGUGGCAGAUCCCCGAGCAGUCGCGGUGCCAAGCCAUCCACAAUGUUGUUCAUGCUAUUAUUCUGCAUCAACAGCAACAACAACAACAACAACAACAACAAAAACAACCAUUGAGCCAGGUCUCCUUCCAACAGCCUCAACAACAAUAUCCAUCAGGCCAGGGCUCCUUCCAGCCAUCUCAGCAAAACCCACAGGCCCAGGGCUCUGUCCAGCCUCAACAACUGCCCCAGUUUGAGGAAAUAAGGAACCUAGCGCUAGAGACGCUACCUGCAAUGUGCAAUGUCUAUAUCCCUCCAUAUUGCACCAUUGCUC